AUUGAACGCUGGCGGCAGGCCUAACACAUGCAAGUCGAACGCGUGGCGGACGGGUGAGUAAUGUCUGGGAAACUGCCUGAUGGAGGGGGAUACAUACUGGAAACGGUAGCUAAUCCCGCAUACCAUCGGAUGUGCCCAGAUGGGAUUAGCUAGUCGGUGGGUUAAAGGCUCCCCUAGGCGACGAUCUCUCGCUUGUCUGAGAGUAUGACGCGCGACACGUGAACGGAGACACGGUCCAGACUCCUAAGGGAGGCAGCAGUGGGGAAUAUUGCACAAUGGGCGCAAGCCUGAUGCAGCCCUGCCGCGUGUAUGAAGAAGGCCUACGGGUUGUAAAGUACUUUCAGCGGGGAGGCGUUACCCGCAGAAUAAGCACCGGCUAACUCCGUGCCAGCCGCCGCGGUAAUUC
rnacentral:rRNA from 1 species